GUCUGACUUGGGUAUAGGGG
rnacentral:snRNA from 1 species